CGCAAUGAUUUUGUGAGGGUGGUACUAAUCCUUGUCUUGGUGAUGUUACUGAUAACAGCGGCGGUUUUAGCAAUGGUUAACUCAUCAGACGAGUGGCGUGAUAUGUUUGUUUCUACUGGUACGAUGUUACCAAUGUUAGCAUUGUUAUUACUGAUGGGUGUUAACUACGCAUUUAUAUGUAGCGCCUGCGCACGAUACCC